GCUAAAAGGAAAAAUUAAAGAGUGAAAAAAAAAAAGGGGGGCAAGAGUGUGUGAACACAUAAGAGGGCAAAAGCCUAAAUUGUGUGAAACACAAGUGGAGGGCUAUUGUUUGAGGGUAAACACAUGAGGGAGUGUUGUGAGAAUUAUUUUUCAAAUAUUUUCUUACAGGAUUAUAAAUAUGUCACAAGGUAGUGGUGAGGAAGGAAGUGGUAGAAGGAGGGAUGGAAAAAAGGAAGGAGUUGAAGAAAGUCCAUUCUAUAUACAAGCUGUACAAUACCAAUUUGAGCGGAUGAAUGAGAUGUUUAGAGAUAUGAGAAAUCGGUUGGAAAGGCGUAAUGACAUGUUGGCUGAAAUCAUGAGAGAAAGGUUGAAUAGAAGAGGGAAUAAGAGAGUACAUAGAAAUAAAGAAAGAAGAGUUGAGGAUGGAUAGAAUGUCAAUAGUUAAUGAGAGGGGCUUUAGACUUAGAGACGGAGUUAAAAGGAAAAGGAAUGAAAGAAGAGAUAGAGUUUGAUGGAGUGGAUGAGAAAUUUGUUGAUAAGGCAAAGAAGAAUGAUUGGAAUGAAAGGGAGAAAUUGAAAGGUGAAAGGUUGCAAAGGGAUAAUGCCUUCCAUACUAGGUGUCUUAUUCAAGACAAGGCUCAUAAUAUGAUCAUUAAUGGAGGAACUUAUUGCAAAAUUGCUAGCACUUUGUUGGUUGAGAAAUUGGGAUUACCUACUUUGAAGCAUCCAAGGCCAUAUAAGUUACCAUGGUUUAAUGAGUGUAGAAAAGUUAGAAUUAUAAAACAAGUGUUGGUUUCAUUUUCCAUUGGGAGGUAUAAGGAUGAGGUUAUUUGUGAUAUUAUUCCCAUACAAAACUCUCAUUUGUUGCUUGGCCAAUCUUGGCAAUUGGAAAGGAGAGUUAUGUAAGAUAGAUAUAAGAAUUGAUAUUCUUUUGAGAUGGAUGGUAGAAAGAUUACACUAGCACUAUUGAGUCCUAUGCAAGUGUAUGAGGACCAAGUGAGAAUUAAAAGAGCAAUUGAAGAGGAAAGUGAAAAUAGAGAGAAAAAUGAAAGAGUGGGUAAACAUGAGUGCAACAGGAAAAAUAUUAAAAGUGAGGAGAAAAAUGAGACUGAAGAAAAGAAAAUGAGUGAAUUUGCAAAAUGGGAAUGUCGGGGCAAAAGGAGAGUCAAAAGAUCAAAAGUGAAAAGAAAAAUGUUGAAAUUGAGAAAAGUGAGAAGAGUGAAAAAAAAACAAGAGGGAGAGCUUAAGAAGAAAGAAAUUGAGGGAAGAAGGAAAGAAGUGAUAAAGACGUGAGGAGUGUUCUUUUUGAUAAUGAUGUGAAAAACACUAACUUUGAUAUUCCUUUAUUUACUGUUGCUAUUUCUUUUGAGUAGAAUUAUGGAGAUGUUAUUCAAUACAAUCAAAAGGGAGUACUCUAAUCUCUAAUUUUAAUGAUAAAUUCUUGAAGUUUGAGUAUGGGAAAGAUUUGUAUAUUGUUGGUGUUUGAGAAAAGAGCAAUUCUUUAUAGACAUGACGAAUAUUUGUUUAGAAUAAAUAGAUUUUGUGUUUUUAAAUGUUCUAUGUAUGAAUUGCUUAUGCAUUUUGAUAAUAUAUUGGCAUAUGGCAUAAAAAGGGAACAACACUUACAAUAUUUGAAGUGUGUGAAUGAUAUGGCUAGAAAAGAAAAUUUCAAUGAUAAUUUGAAGAAGUGUGCAUUUUGCAUCAAAGAAGCCAUUUUCAUGGGAUAUGUUGAUCAUGUGUUGUGUGCAAAUAUUGAAAAAUUCAACAUAUUAGCAUCUAUUGAGAAUAUUUAUAAGCAUUUGCAUCACUUGAGAUGUAAUUUCGAUGUGUUGAGAGAAGAAGGGUUGCAUCCUAAUUUGAAGAAGUGGUUAUCUUGCAUGGAAAGGAGCACCUUUGUUAGAUAUAUUUAGAGUGAUAGGGAUGAACAUUCUUAUAUUGAUUUUUUACCUUUUGAGAGCAAAUUUAAUGUUUAUGGAAUUGGUAUAAGUGUUGCCUUGAUUCAAGAAAAAUGGCCUAUAACAUGUUUCUGUGAGAAGUUGAUUGGGAAAGUUUUAAAUUGUUCAAUUAUAAAAAGGAGUUUUUGGUUUACAAAGUAGAUAUUCAAAGUGAAUAUGAUAUUAAUGCCAAUUUUAAUGUUUGUAAUAUUCUCCUUUAUUAUAAUGAAGGCAUAAAUUCAAGGACAAAUUUCUUUGAAGAAAGAGAGUAUCAUGUGAUCAUGAGAGCACCAAGUU
rnacentral:misc_RNA from 1 species